rnacentral:rRNA from 1 species
AUUGAACGCUGGCGGCAGGCCUAACACAUGCAAGUCGAGCGAGUGGCGGACGGGUGAGUAAUGUCUGGGAAACUGCCUGAUGGAGGGGGAUAACUACUGGAAACGGUAGCUAAUACCGCAUACCAUCGGAUGUGCCCAGAGGGGAUUAGCUAGUAGGUGGGGUAAAGGCUCACCCAGGCGACGAUCCCUAGCUGGUCUGAGAGGAUGACCAGCCACACUGGAACUUAGACACGGUCCAUACUCCCACGGGAGGCAGCAGGGGGGAAUAUUGCACAAUUGGCGCAAGCCUGAUGCAGCCAUGCCGCGUGUAUGAAGAAGGCCUUCGGGUUGUAAAGUACUUUCAGCGGGGAGGCGUUACCCGCAGAAGAAGCACCGGCUAACUCCGUGCCAGCAGCCGCGGUAAUUC